rnacentral:rRNA from 1 species
CCUGCGGAAGGAUCAUUAUUGAAAUAAACCUGAUGAGUUGCUGCUGGUUCUCUAGGGAGCAUUGUGCACGCUUGUCAUCUUUAUAUCUCCACCUGUGCACAUAUUGUAGACCUCGAUCGCUCUCUGAAUGCUAGCAUUCAGGCUUGAGGAUUGACUUUUGUCUUUCCUUACAUUUCCAGGCCUAUGUUUUUUUUCAUAUAAACUCAAUGUAUGUUAUGGAAUGUAAUAAACGGGCUAUUGUGCCUAUAAACUUAUACAACUUUCAGCAACGGAUCUCUUGGCUCUCGCAUCGAUGAAGAACGCAGCGAAAUGCGAUAAGUAAUGUGAAUUGCAGAAUUCAGUGAAUCAUCGAAUCUUUGAACGCACCUUGCGCUCCUUGGUAUUCCGAGGAGCAUGCCUGUUUGAGUGUCAUUAAUAUAUCAACCUCUUAAAGCUUUUGCUUUGAGAGUGUGUGGAUGUGGGGGUUAUUUUUUUUGCUGGCCCUCAAGGUCAGCUCCCCUGAAAUGUAUUAGCAGAACAAUUUGUUGACUGUUCAUUGGUGUGAUAACUAUCUACGCUAUUGACAUGAAAGCAGUUCAGCUUAUAACAGUCCAUUGAAUUGGACAAUCUUCUAUUAUUAAUGUGACCUCAAAUCAGGUAGGACUACCCGCUGAACUUAA